GUGCUUCCUCCGCCAAUGAGAAGUCUACUGGGCGGCCACUUUUAACGUAUAUGGUGGUGAGCACCUUGCUUGUCUGUUUCACCUUCUCUCAUGUCGUUUCCCCCAAAACUACUGGCCAAUCCUACGAAACGUGCCUUGUAGCCUCUGCUGCCUUUUGGCGAGCCACCCGCUAUCAAGAGCUCCAGCUGCCGCUAUAGGAGACUUGAAGGUGGGUUUUGCUUCUAGACAUGCCACCAGCUGCUUGUAGCUUUGCCAGCUGCCAUGAUCGGUGCAGCUCCCGCUACCGAGGUGCUUCUCCUACGUCAGCCACAAAGUCCUUCUUUACAAAUAAAAGUUAACAAGUUCGAUAAUCGGAACUCAGGAUUCAUGGGCGUCGGUCGAUUUUAGGACCCUCAAAACCGAUCGAUAAAAUUAAAAUAUUUGAAAUGUUUGUCAUGUUUGUUUCUUCAUUUGAGAGCAAGACAAGAAAAUGGGAGCAAGAGAGGAUAUGAUAAGAGAAAACUUUGAAUUUAAGGUUCAUGGGAGGAACCCUAGGAAACGACAGAAAAUAAGUCCGAGGUAAUCCAAAACCAAUCAACUGUAUGUGCUUAUUUAUUCUCUCUGUUGGUACAACUCUUAUGAAGAAUCAGGAAAUCAACUCCCAAACACCUUUCCCGAUUCUGAAACUCUCAUCAUGAAGAAGGUUUGAGGUAGCAAAGGGAAACCAGAGACGUUAGCUUACCCUGAUCAAUAGAGAAGCUAUGAGGCGGUAUGAAUCAAACAGGUUUAUGAAUUAUCUAAAAGGGUUUAUGCUUGGAUAUUUUUAUUUUUAUUUUUUGCUUAAAGUGAAGGGAUUGACAGUGAGGAUCAUUUGUUUGGAAAAUAUACUUGUUUGUCAUAUAUGUGUUGCCAUCUAUUUUCAAAUCACUUUUUAAUUGAAAAAGUAAUUUUUUUGGUUUAGACUUGUUUAUUGGGGUUUGGGACUUGGGUAAGGAAGAUCCAGUUUGAAUGAAGUGAAAGCAUUUUUAUUUUGUAGUAUGACCUAAUUCCGUUGAAAAUUGCACUUGAAUAGUGGGUUUUUUUUUGUAUGGAUUGUCAAAAAGAAGCAAGAAUCAGGAAACAAAGACGUUCCCUUUUUUGGUUAACUACUAAGAUUCUUGAUUGUUUAUAGUAGUUGUGUUGUUUCAGAUUGUGGAAACGAAGGUAUCUGCUGUUUGUUUUGGUCACCAGUUGCCUAUAAGCAAUACAUAUGCGUCUACACUACUAUAUAUGACCUUCGAUUUUUUUUUUUUUUGCUGAACUGUCCCACAACAUGAACGUUUAUUGCAUCUUUGUGGUAAAUCAUAUCUAGAUUAAUCUUUUGAUUUGGUUUUUCUUUUGUUUUCUCUUUUCGCCCACGCAUGGAAGCAUGUUUGAUCUACCUUGGAAGAAUCACAUUAGUAUACACAAGGUUAUAUAAGCCAAUUAUUAGUGUGUUCCGAAAAACAAUGACUUAUAAAUAUGUGCACGUAUUAAUUGGAAAAAAUCCAUUUGAAGAAGAUUAUUAGCCGCGUUAGUAUUUAACAGUUCGAAUUAUGAAAUAAAGAUAAAUUUGGGGGUUACUUUUGUUCAUCUGCUAUUUGAGGUAGUUAAUUUCAUUACUAAGUUCAAUAAGUCUACAUUGUUUCCAUUACAACAACAGUUUGGGGACGGAGACCAGUGUUGUAUUUUAGGAAAAAUAAAUGAUUAUACCAGAAGUGUUGUACUUUAGAAAAAAUAAAUGUUUAUAUUAGAAUUUGGUCGUGUAAUCUUUUUUGAACUUCAACAUGUAAUUGUAGUACUAGAAUUUGGCCGUGUAAUCUUUUUUGAACUUCAACAUGUACUUGUAAUACUUUAGUUAUCUGUAGGCUAAGGUGAAACCAAGAUUUUGGGAGUUGAUUAUGA